ACGGGAGGCAGCAGUGGGGAAUAUUGCACAAUGGGGGAAACCCUGAUGCAGCAACGCCGCGUGAAGGAUGAAGGCCCUUGGGUCGUAAACUUCUGUUCUAAGGGAAGAUAAUGACGGUACCUUAGGAGCAAGUCCCGGCUAACUACGUGCCAGCAGCCGCGGUAAUACGUAGGGGGCAAGCGUUAUCCGGAAUUAUUGGGCGUAAAGAGUGCGUAGGUGGUUUCCUAAGCAUGGGGUUUAAGGCAAUGGCUUAACCAUUGUUCGCCCCGUGAACUGGGUGACUUGAGUUCUGGAGAGGGAAGCGGAAUUCCCAGUGUAGCGGUGAAAUGCGUAGAUAUUAGGGGGAACACCAGUGGCGAAGGCGACUUUCUGGACGAUUACUGACGUUGAGGCACGAAAGUGUGGGGAGCAAACAGGAUUAGAUACCCUGGUA
rnacentral:rRNA from 1 species